CCUCUCACUGGCUCCAUUCUGACCCUGGAUCCUACUCCCACUUAAAUUCGGUCCGGUUUCUAUGUUGGACACAGUGUGACCCCUAUGGUUUCUACUUGGGACCCCAUGUGAAGUCGGACCUGUCUGAUGUGGGACCCAGGGGGGUAUGGAACCCAGUCUGAGGCUGGAUCUAGUCUGAGGCGGGACCCAGCGUGAGGUGGGAACCAGCGCGAGGUGGGUCCCGUCUGAGGCAGGACCCAGUGUGAGGUGGGACCCAAGCGUGAGGUGAGACCCAGUGUGAUGUAGGACCCAGUUGGCGGUGGGACCUCGUUGGAGGUAGGACCCGGUCUGAGGUGGGAAUCAGUCUGAGGUGGGACCCAGUCGGAGGUAGGACCGGGGCUGAAGAGGGACCGGCUCUGAGCUGGGGGCCCGUCUGACGUAGGACCCAGGCCUGAGGCCGUCCUGGUUUUGAAGUCAGCCCGGACGCCGGCCGACGGUUUCCACACCCAGCCUGGAAACCGAAACGCUCACGUGAAGCCUGAAAGCCCAUGAAGGGAACGACUGCGACGCUGGGAUCCCGAGACGGGGCCUCCCCGCCUGGAGAGGCAGCCAGCGAGCGGCAGGUUCGGCGGCUGGGCAGCUGAGAGAGUCAUUACUGUGAUCUGUGGGACAUUCUAUACAUGAGCUGAUACUUCUCUUCCUUCUCCUCAGUCUCUAAGAAUGAGUCCAGACCCAUUCUGGGACUCAGAGAACUCUUUCUGGACCGUCUCUUCCCUCUCACCGCCAGCCACCAUCUCCCAUCCAUCAGUUUGAAAAGAAUAUCGUUAAAUGUCUUAGCUACUGCUGGUUGAGCUGCAGCUCAGGAAGCUCUCAUCUCUCCUCUUUGACAACGUUAUUCAAGAAAUGUUGUCUCUCUGUAAUAAAUGUUUUACCUCCCCUGC